UUAGUGAGGCCUCCUGACUGGCGCCGCUGGUCUGGCGACAGAGCGGCGGACGCCGGAAAGUUGGUCAAACUUGAUCAUUUAGAGGAAGUAAAAGUCGUAACAAGGUUUCCGUAGGUGAACCUGCGGAAGGAUCAUUACCGAUACCGACGCCAAGGCGUCAGUCAGUCAGUCAGUCAGUCUGUGAACCGUACCUAACCAUUUAGGGGUCGGCCAGUCCGUUAAAUGGCGGUCGUACGCGUCCCGCUCCGGCGGGCGCGGACGCUCCGCCGGCCCCGCCAUCGUGUGCUUCCAUGUGGACUUGCAAUUUACGUCUGAUGUGACACGUGAAGGCCCGCACUCCGUGCGUGGCUGGACGAGGGCAAUUGAGNAAANUGAGAUACAACUUUUGACGGUGGAUCUCUUGGGUCACGCAUCGAUGAAGAACGCAGCCAGCUGCGAUAAGUAGUGUGAAUUGCAGAAUUCAGUGAAUCAUCGAAUCUUUGAACGCAAAUGGCGCUCUUGGGUUCUCCCAGGAGCAUGUCUGUCUGAGUGUCGGAAUAAAUCCAGCGCACCCGCCGCCCCNUGUCUUNANAGUUGGUGNGUGGNUGGGUGCGGCGUUGAGGAGUCACGGUGCUAACUCUACGGAGGAGGCGCCGUGUCCCUUGAAGGCNANANAGNGACUCGCGUGGCCCGGGCUGUCUNCCGGCGCCACAGCGGAGGCUAAAGAGAAUUGGCCCUCCGCNNGCCGGUGUGCCUGCUGACCCGGCCGCCGAGUCCGAGAGGCGAACGANNNNNCNNAUGACUUGACCUCAGAUCAGACAAGACUACCCGCUGAAUUUAAGCAUAUCAAUAAGCGGAGGAAA
rnacentral:misc_RNA from 1 species